UGGGGAAUAUUGGACAAUGGGCGAAAGCCUGAUCCAGCCAUGCCGCGUGUGAGAAGAAGGCCUUUUGGUUGUAAAGCACUUUAAGCGAGGAGGAGGCUACUUGGAUUAAUACUCUAGGAUAGUGGACGUUACUCGCAGAAUAAGCACCGGCUAACUCUGUGCCAGCAGCCGCGGUAAUACAGAGGGUGCGAGCGUUAAUCGGAUUUACUGGGCGUAAAGCGUGCGUAGGCGGCUUUUUAAGUCGGAUGUGAAAUCCCUGAGCUUAACUUAGGAAUUGCAUUCGAUACUGGGAAGCUAGAGUAUGGGAGAGGAUGGUAGAAUUCCAGGUGUAGCGGUGAAAUGCGUAGAGAUCUGGAGGAAUACCGAUGGCGAAGGCAGCCAUCUGGCCUAAUACUGACGCUGAGGUACGAAAGCAUGGGGAGCAAACAGG
rnacentral:rRNA from 1 species